rnacentral:rRNA from 1 species
CAACCUGGCGGCGAGUGGCGAACGGGUGAGUAAUAUACCGGAACGUACCCAAGAGUGGGGGAUAACGUAGCGAAAGUUACGCUAAUACCGCAUACGAUCUAUGGAUGAAAGCAGGGGACCGCAAGGCCUUGUGCUCCUGGAGCGGCCGAUAUCUGAUUAGCUAGUUGGUAGGGUAAAGGCCUACCAAGGCUACGAUCAGUAGCUGGUCUGAGAGGACGACCAGCCACACUGGAACUGAGACACGGUCCAGACUCCUACGGGAGGCAGCAGUGGGGAAUUUUGGACAAUGGGCGCAAGCCUGAUCCAGCAAUGCCGCGUGAGUGAAGAAGGCCUUCGGGUUGUAAAGCUCUUUUGUCAGGGAAGAAACGGUUCCGGCUAAUAUCUGGGGCUAAUGACGGUACCUGAAGAAUAAGCACCGGCUAACUACGUGCCAGCAGCCGCGGUAAUACGUAGGGUGCAAGCGUUAAUCGGAAUUACUGGGCGUAAAGCGUGCGCAGGCGGUUUUGUAAGUCUGUCGUGAAAGCCCCGGGCUCAACCUGGGAAUUGCGAUGGAGACUGCAAGGCUUGAAUCUGGCAGAGGGGGGUAGAAUUCCACGUGUAGCAGUGAAAUGCGUAGAGAUGUGGAGGAACACCGAUGGCGAUGCAGCCCCCUGGGUCAAGAUUGACGCUCAUGCACGAAAGCGUGGGGAGCAAACAGGAUUAGAUACCCUGGUAGUCCACGCCCUAAACGAUGUCUACUAG